rnacentral:rRNA from 1 species
GACUGCAGGCUGCAACUCGCCUGCACGAAGUCGGAAUUGCUAGUAAUCGUAGGUCAGCAUACUACGGUGAAUACGUUCCCGGGCCUUGUACACACCGCCGUCAAACCAUGGGAGUUGGCAACACCCGAAGUCGGUAGUCUAACCGCAAGGAGGACGCCGCCGAAGGUGGGGUUGAUGAUUAGGGUUAAGUCGUAACAAGGUAUC